rnacentral:rRNA from 1 species
UACAGAGGUCUCAAGCGUUGUUCGGAUUCAUUGGGCGUAAAGGGUGCGUAGGCGGCGGGGUAAGUCAGGUGUGAAAUCUCGGGGCUCAACCCCGAAACUGCACUUGAUACUGCCUCGCUUGAGUACUGGAGAGGAGACUGGAAUUUACGGUGUAGCAGUGAAAUGCGUAGAUAUCAGGAGGAACACCGGUGGUGUAGACGGCUUACUGGACCACGACUGACACUGAGGCACGAAAGCGUGGGUAGCAAACAGG